rnacentral:rRNA from 1 species
UACGUAGGGUGCAGGCGUUAAUCGGAAUUACUGGGCGUAAAGCGUGCGCAGGCGGUUUGCUAAGACAGGUGUGAAAUCCCCGGGCUCAACCUGGGAACUGCAUCUGUGACUGCAUAGCUAGAGUACGGUAGAGGGGAUGGAAUUCCGCGUGUAGCAGUGAAAUGCGUAGAUAUGCGGAGGAACACCGAUGGCGAAGGCAAUCCCCUGGACCUGUACUGACGCUCAUGCACGAAAGCGUGGGGAGCAAACAGG